rnacentral:rRNA from 1 species
UACGGAAGGUGCAAGCGUUAUCCGGAUUCACUGGGUUUAAAGGGUGCGUAGGAGGGCAGGUAAGUCAGUGGUGAAAUCUUCGAGCUUAACUCGGAAACUGCCGUUGAUACUAUCUGUCUUGAAUACCGUGGAGAUGAGCGGAAUAUGUCAUGUAGCGGUGAAAUGCUUAGAUAUGACAUAGAACACCAAUUGCGAAGGCAGCUCGUUACACGAAUAUUGACUCUGAGGCACGAAAGCGUGGGGAUCAAACAGG